AAGAGGAGAUUUUAGAUGUUUUUUGGUAGGUCGACAGAAAUAGCUCUUUGAGGUAAUAUGGGAGUAAGAAGAAAAGUUAGCGGGUUUUAGUUACUUAUUGUGAAAUGUAAAUGGCACUAAGCUAUCUUGGUAUGAUAACCGGAAGGGCGUUUUAGUUACUUAUUAUGAAAUGUAAAUUUGGAUUAUCAGCAUUUUAUUAAUCAUUUGGGUAAAGAGUUUUAGUUACUUAAUGUGAAAUGUAAAUUGACAAAGUAUCCGUGCACCAAUUCCCCGUUAUCUAGUUUUAGUUACUUAUUAUGAAAUGUAAAUACAA
rnacentral:sRNA from 1 species